UGGUUCAGUGGUACAUCACUAGGCUAUAGAUCUGUGAGCGCAGGUUCAAUCCCGCCC
rnacentral:tRNA from 1 species